rnacentral:rRNA from 1 species
GACGAACGCUGGCGGCGUGCCUAAUACAUGCAAGUCGAACGCUUCUUUUUCCACCGGGGCUUGCUCCACCGGAAAAAAAAGAGUGGCGAACGGGUGAGUAACACGUGGGUAACCUGCCCAUCAGAAGGGGAUAACACUUGGAAACAGGUGCUAAGACCGUAUAACAAUCGAAAGCGCAUGGUUAUGAUUUGAAAGGCGCUUUCGGUUGUCGCUGAUGGAUGGACCCGCGGUGCAUUAGCUAGUUGGUGAGGUAACGGCUCACCAAGGCAACAAUGCAUAGCCGACCUGAGAGGGUGAUCGGCCACAUUGGGACUGAGACACGGCCCAAACUCCUACGGGAGGCAGCAGUAGGGAAUCUUCGGCAAUGGACGAAAGUCUGACCGAGCAACGCCGCGUGAGUGAAGAAGGUUUUCGGAUCGUAAAACUCUGUUGUUAGAGAAGAACAAGGAUGAGAGUAACUGUUCAUCCCUUGACGGUAUCUAACCAGAAAGCCACGGCUAACUACGUGCCAGCCGCCGCAGUAA